GUGUCAGCAGCCGCGGUAAUACGUAGGGGGCAAGCGUUGUCCGGAAUCACUGGGCGUAAAGCGCGCGCAGGCGGCUAUCUACGUCCGGGGUGAAAGCCCAGAGCUCAACUCUGGGACUGCCUUGGAUACGGGAUAGCUUGAGGAUCGGAGAGGCAAGGGGAAUUCCACGUGUAGCGGUGAAAUGCGUAGAGAUGUGGAGGAACACCUGUGGCGAAGGCGCCUUGCUGGCCGAUUUCUGACGCUGAGGCGCGAAAGCGUGGGGAGCAAACAGGAUUAGAUACCCUGGUAGUCCACGCCGUAAACGAUGAGUGCUAGGUGUUGGGGGGUACCACCCUCAGUGCCGAAGCUAACGCAUUAAGCACUCCGCCUGGGGAGUACGGUCGCAAGACUGAA
rnacentral:rRNA from 1 species